rnacentral:rRNA from 1 species
GGAGUUAGCCGGUGCUUCUUCUGCGAGUAACGUCACAGAUGUAAGGUAUUAACUUACACCCUUUCCUCCUCGCUGAAAGUGCUUUACAACCCGAAGGCCUUCUUCACACACGCGGCAUGGCUGCAUCAGGGUUUCCCCCAUUGUGCAAUAUUCCCCACUGCUGCCUCCCGUAGGAGUCUGGGCCGUGUCUCAGUCCCAGUGUGGCUGAUCAUCCUCUCAGACCAGCUAGGGAUCGUCGCCUAGGUGAGCCUUUACCUCACCUACUAGCUAAUCCCACCUGGGCUUAUCCAUCAGCGCAAGGCCCGAAGGUCCCCUGCUUUCCCCCGUAGGGCGUAUGCGGUAUUAGCAGUCGUUUCCAACUGUUAUCCCCCACAAAUGGGCAAAUUCCCAGGCAUUACUCACCCGUCCGCCGCUCGUCAUCUUCAAAAGCAAGCUUUUGAAAUGUUACCGCUCGACUUGCAUGUGUUAGGCCUGCCGCCAGCGUUCAAUCUGAGCAGANACAACUACUGA